rnacentral:rRNA from 1 species
GACGAACCGUGCGAACGUUGUUCGGAAUCACUGGGCUUAAAGGUCGCGUAGGCGGGCACGCACGUCCGGGGUGAAAGCCCCCCGCUCAACCGGGGGAAGGGCCCCGGAGACGGCGUGCCUCGAGGGGGGCAGGGGCGCGUGGAACUUCCGGUGGAGCGGUGAAAUGCGUAGAGAUCGGAAGGAACGCCGGCGGCGAAAGCGGCGCGCUGGGCCCCCCCUGACGCUGAGGCGCGAAAGCCAGGGGAGCGAACGGG